rnacentral:rRNA from 1 species
CGCGUGGUUCUAUUUUGUUGGUUUCUAGGACCGCCGUAAUGAUUAAUAGGGACAGUCGGGGGCAUCAGUAUUCAAUUGUCAGAGGUGAAAUUCUUGGAUCUAUUGAAGACUAACUACUGCGAAAGCAUUUGCCAAGGAUGUUUUCAUUGAUAAGGAACGAAAGUUAGGGGAUCGAAGACGAUCAGAUACCGUCGUAGUCUUAACUAUAAACUAUGCCGACUAGGGAUCGGACGAUGUUAUUCUUUGACGCGUUCGGCACCUUUCGAGAAAUCAAAGUGCUUGGGCUCCAGGGGGAGUAUGGUCGCAAGGCUGAAACUUAAAGAAAUUGACGGAAGGGCACCACCAGGGGUGGAACCUGCGGCUUAAUUUGACUCAACACGGGGAAACUCA